UACAGAGGGUGCAAGCGUUAAUCGGAAUUACUGGGCGUAAAGCGCGCGUAGGUGGUUUGGUGAGUCGGAUGUGAAAUCCCCGGGCUUAACCUGGGAAUUGCAUUCGAUACUGCCUGACUCGAGUGUGGAAGAGGGAAGCGGAAUUUCCGGUGUAGCGGUGAAAUGCGUAGAUAUCGGAAGGAACACCAGUGGCGAAGGCGGCUUCCUGGUCCAACACUGACACUGAGGCGCGAAAGCGUGGGUAGCGAACAGG
rnacentral:rRNA from 1 species